CCCACCAUUUUUAAAUAACAUAUCCGAAUAAUGGGUCGUUAGCUUAGUCUGGUAGAGCAGUGGACUCUUAAUCCAUU
rnacentral:tRNA from 1 species